rnacentral:rRNA from 1 species
UACGGGGGGGGCAAGCGUUGUCCGGAAUUAUUGGGCGUAAAGGGCUCGUAGGCGGUUUGUCGCGUCGGGAGUGAAAUCCACUGGCUUAACUGGUGGCUUGCUUUCGAUACGGGCAGACUGGAGGUAUGCAGGGGAGAACGGAAUUCCUGGUGUAGCGGUGAAAUGCGCAGAUAUCAGGAGGAACACCGGUGGCGAAGGCGGUUCUCUGGGCAUGUCCUGACGCUGAGGAGCGAAAGUGUGGGGAGCGAACAGG